AUUGAACGCUGGCGGCAGGCCUAACACAUGCAAGUCGAGCGGAUGAAGGGAGCUUGCUCCUGGAUUCAGCGGCGGACGGGUGAGUAAUGCCUAGGAAUCUGCCUGGUAGUGGGGGAUAACGUCCGGAAACGGGCGCUAAUACCGCAUACGUCCUGAGGGAGAAAGUGGGGGAUCUUCGGACCUCACGCUAUCAGAUGAGCCUAGGUCGGAUUAGCUAGUUGGUGGGGUAAAGGCCUACCAAGGCGACGAUCCGUAACUGGUCUGAGGGGAUGAUCAGUCACACUGGAACUGAGACACGGUCCAGACUCCUACGGGAGGCAGCAGUGGGGAAUAUUGGACAAUGGGCGAAAGCCUGAUCCAGCCAUGCCGCGUGUGUGAAGAAGGUCUUCGGAUUGUAAAGCACUUUAAGUUGGGAGGAAGGGCAGUAAGUUAAUACCUUGCUGUUUUGACGUUACCAACAGAAUAAGCGCCGGCUAACUUCGUG
rnacentral:rRNA from 1 species